rnacentral:tRNA from 1 species
AGCCAAAGUAAGGAAAAUUGCAAAUUUUUCAUUCCAAGAAAGGUUUGGCUU